UGGGGAAUAUUGGACAAUGGGCGAAAGCCUGAUCCAGCCAUGCCGCGUGUGUGAAGAAGGUCUUCGGAUUGUAAAGCACUUUAAGUUGGGAGGAAGGGCAGUAAGCGAAUACCUUGCUGUUUUGACGUUACCGACAGAAUAAGCACCGGCUAACUCUGUGCCAGCAGCCGCGGUAAUACAGAGGGUGCAAGCGUUACUCGGAAUUACUGGGCGUAAAGCGCGCGUAGGUGGUUCGUUAAGUUGAAUGUGAAAGCCCCGGGCUCAACCUGGGAACUGCAUCCAGAACUGGCGAGCUAGAGUAGGGCAGAGGGUGGUGGAAUUUCCUGUGUAGCGGUGAAAUGCGUAGAUAUAGGAAGGAACACCAGUGGAGAAGGCGACCACCUGGGCUCAUACUGACACUGAGGUGCGAAAGCGUGGGGAGCAAACAGG
rnacentral:rRNA from 1 species